GGAAGAAAGCUUGCUUUCUUUGCUGGCGACCGGCGCACGGGUGAGUAACACGUAUCCAACCUGCCCUUUACUCGGGGAUAGCCUUUCGAAAGAAAGAUUAAUACCCGAUGGGAUAAUCAUUCCGCAUGGUCUGAUUAUUAAAGGAUUCCGGUAAAGGAUGGGGAUGCGUUCCAUUAGGUUGUUGGUGAGGUAACGGCUCACCAAGCCUUCGAUGGAUAGGGGUUCUGAGAGGAAGGUCCCCCACAUUGGAACUGAGACACGGUCCAAACUCCUACGGGAGGCAGCAGUGAGGAAUAUUGGUCAAUGGGCGCGAGCCUGAACCAGCCAAGUAGCGUGAAGGAUGACUGCCCUAUGGGUUGUAAACUUCUUUUAUAUUAGAAUAAAGUGCAGUAUGUAUACUGUUUUGUAUGUAUAAUAUGAAUAAGGAUCGGCUAACUCCGUGCCAGCAGCCGCGGUAAUACGGAGGAUCCGAGCGUUAUCCGGAUUUAUUGGGUUUAAAGGGAGCGUAGGUGGACUGGUAAGUCAGUUGUGAAAGUUUGCGGCUCAACCGUAAAAUUGCAGUUGAUACUGUCAGUCUUGAGUACAGUAGAGGUGGGCGGAAUUCGUGGUGUAGCGGUGAAUGCUUAGAUAUCACGAAGACUCCGAUUGCGAAGGCAGCUCACUGACUGCAACUGA
rnacentral:rRNA from 1 species